rnacentral:rRNA from 1 species
AUGGACACCGGAGCUACCAACCACCUCACCGGCGAGAUGGGCAAGCUAUCUACUCAGGAGCCAUAUCGUGGUCAUGAUCAGGUCCACACCGCCAAUGGAGCAGGUAUGCGCAUCUCCCAUGUUGGUCAGGCUUCUCUCCUCACACACAAUUUUCGUAAAUUGCAUCUUUCCAAUGUCCUUCGAGUACCCGCUGCUACACGUAGUUUGUUGUCCAUUCCUCAACUUACUCGUGAUAAUAAUGUCCUUGCUGAGUUUCAUCCUUUUCGUUUCUUUAUCAAGGAUCGGGACACGAGGACCGUUCUGCUUAGCGGUCGUCUUCGCCAUGGCCUGUAUGCACUUGAUGCACCGCGCACAUCUCCUAUGCAGUUUUCUCCGCAGGCAUUCAGUGGUGUUCGUGUGUCGCCUACGCACUGGCAUGCGCGCCUUGGUCAUCCUGCGGCUCCUAUAGUUCGUCAUGUGUCCCAUCGUCAUGAACUACCAGUUGUGUCCAAUAAAUCUGCUGAAACUAUUGUGAUGCCUGUCAGCAGGGCAAGAGUCAUCAACUUCCGUUUUCAGAGUCUAGUCAUGUUGUGA